ensembl:misc_RNA Metazoa_SRP Metazoan signal recognition particle RNA
GCCGAUAUGGUGGCAGGCACCUGCAGUCCCAGCUACUUGGGAGGCUGAAGUAGGAGGAUUGUUUGAGCCCAGGAGUUUUGAGGUGUGGUGAGCUAUGCCCACUGGGUGUCCACACUAAGUCGACAUCAACAUGGUGAUCUCCCAGGAGCAGAGGACUACCAGGUUGCCUCAGGAGAGGUAAACUGGCCCAGGGUGGAAACAGCAGGUCAAAACUCCCAUGCUGAUCAGUAGUGAGAUGUUGUCUGUGAAUAGCCACUGCAAUUCUGCCUGCACAACACAGGGAGAUCCCGUUUUCA